GGAGGAAGGCACGGCUAACUCUGUGCCAGCAGCCGCGGUAAUACAGAGGUGCCAAGCGUUGUUCGGAUUUAUUGGGCGUAAAGGGUGCGUAACACGUGGGUAAUUUAUCUUUAUGUGGGGGAUAGCUCCGCGAAAGCGGAAUUAAUACCGCAUGCGGUUAAGGAUCUCAUGAUCUGAAAACCAAAGCUGGGGAUCGCAAGACCUGGCGCAAAAAGAGAAGCCCGCGGCCUAUCAGCUUGUUGGUGAGGUAUCGGCUCACCAAGGCUUACGGGUAGCUGGUCUGAGAGGACGACCAGCCACACUGGGACUGAGACACGGCCCAGGCACCUACGGGUGGCAGCAGUCGAGAAUUUUUCUCAAUGGGGGAAACCCUGAAGGAGCGACGCCGCGUGGGGGAUGAAGGACUUCGGUUCGUAAACCCCUGUCACUUGGGAACAAAAGUUGCAACCCGACACGUUGCAACCUGAUAGUACCAGGGGAGGAAGGCACGGCUAACUCUGUGCCAGCAGCCGCGGUAAUACAGAGGUGCCAAGCGUUGUUCGGAUUUAUUGGGCGUAAAGGGUGCGUAGGUGGUCAUACAAGUCGGGUGUGAAAUCCCGGAGCCUAACUCCGGAACGGCACUCGAAACUGUUUGACUGGAGGUCUGGAGAGGUGACUGGAAUUCUCGGUGUAGCAGUGAAAUGCGUAGAUAUCGAGAGGAACACCAGAGGCGAAGGCGAGUCACUGGACAGAACCUGACACUGAGGCACGAAAGCUAGGGGAGCAAACGGGAUUAGAUACCCCGGUAGUCCUAGCCGUAAACGGUGCGUAUUUGAGGUGGGAGGAUUCGACCCCUUCCGUCUCGCAGCUAACGCGUUAAAUACGCCGCCUGGGAAGUACGGUCGCAAGAUUAAAACUCAAAGAAAUUGACGGGGGCCCGCACAAGCGGUGGAGCAUGUGGCUUAAUUCGAUGCAACGCGAAGAACCUUAUCCUAGCCUUGACAUACACGUAGUAGAAGGGUGAAAGCCUGACGAGGUAGCAAUACCAGCGUGAACAGGUGCUGCAUGGCUGUCGUCAGCUCGUGCCGUGAGGUGUUCGGUUAAGUCCGGUAACGAGCGCAACCCCUGUGAUCUGUUGCUAAUCCGAGUAAUCGGAUGCACUCUGAUCAGACUGCCCUGCAUAACGGGGAGGAAGGUGGGGAUGACGUCAAGUCCGUAUGGCCUUUAUGGCUAGGGCUGCACACGUGCUACAAUGCCCAGUACAAAGGGUCGCCAACCCGCGAGGGGGAGCCAAUCCCAGAAAACUGGGCCCA
rnacentral:rRNA from 1 species